AGAGUUUGAUCCUGGCUCAGAACGAACGCUGGCGGCAGGCCUAACACAUGCAAGUCGAACGCUCCGCAAGGGGAGUGGCAGACGGGUGAGUAACACGUGGGAAUCUUCCUAUUGGUACGGAAUAGCUCAGGGAAACUUGGGGUAAUACCGUAUAAGCCCGAGAGGGGAAAGAUUUAUCGCCAGUAGAUGAGCCCGCGUCUGAUUAGCUAGUUGGUGAGGUAAUGGCUCACCAAGGCGACGAUCAGUAGCUGGUCUGAGAGGACGACCAGCCACACUGGGACUGAGACACGGCCCAGACUCCUACGGGAGGCAGCAGUGGGGAAUUUUGGACAAUGGGCGCAAGCCUGAUCCAGCAAUGCCGCGUGAGUGAAGAAGGCCUUAGGGUUGUAAAGCUCUUUCAGUUGAGAAGAAAAGAUUGUGACUAAUAAUCAUAAUUCAUGACGGUAUCAACAGAAGAAGCACCGGCUAACUACGUGCCAGCAGCCGCGGUAAUACGUAGGGUGCGAGCGUUAAUCGGAAUUACUGGGCGUAAAGGGUGCGCAGGCGGUUCUGUAAGUCAGAUGUGAAAUCCCCGGGCUUAACCUGGGAACUGCGUUUGAAACUACAGAGCUAGAGUGUGGCAGAGGGGGGUGGAAUUCCAUGUGUAGCAGUGAAACGCGUAGAGAUAUGGAAGAACAUCGAUGGCGAAGGCAGCCCCCUGGGUUAACACUGACGCUCAUGCACGAAAGCGUGGGGAGCAAACAGGAUUAGAUGCAAACAGGAUUAGAUACCCUGGUAGUCCACGCCCUAAACUAUGUCAACUAGUUGUCGGGUCUUAAUAGGCUUGGUAACGUAGCUAACGCGUGAAGUUGACCGCCUGGGGAGUACGGUCGCAAGAUUAAAACUCAAAGGAAUUGACGGG
rnacentral:rRNA from 1 species